ensembl:piRNA 21ur-3392 ncRNA
UGAGCAAUCUAUUUAUGCAGA